rnacentral:rRNA from 1 species
UACAGAGGGUGCAAGCGUUAAUCGGAAUUACUGGGCGUAAAGCGUGCGUAGACGGUUAUGUAAGUCAGAUGUGAAAGCCCCGGGCUCAACCUGGGAAUUGCAUUUGAGACUGCAUAGCUAGGGUGCGGAAGAGGGAAGCGGAAAUUCCGGUGUAGCGGUGAAAUGCGUAGAUAUCGGAAGGAACACCAGUGGCGAAAGCGGCUUCCUGGUCCAGCACCGACGUUCAGGCACGAAAGCGUGGGGAGCAAACAGG